GAUGAACGCUGGCGGCGUGCCUAAUACAUGCAAGUAGAACGCUGAAGGAAGGAGCUUGCUCUUUCCGGAUGAGUUGCGAACGGGUGAGUAACGCGUAGGUAACCUGCCUGGUAGCGGGGGAUAACUAUUGGAAACGAUAGCUAAUACCGCAUAACAGUAGAUGUUGCAUGAUAUCUACUUAAAAGGUGCAAUUGCACCACUACCAGAUGGACCUGCGUUGUAUUAGCUAGUUGGUGAGGUAACGGCUCACCAAGGCGACGAUACAUAGCCGACCUGACAGGGUGAUCGGCCACACUGGGACUGAGACACGGCCCAGACUCCUACGGGAGGCAGCAGUAGGGAAUCUUCGGCAAUGGACGGAAGUCUGACCGAGCAACGCCGCGUGAGUGAAGAAGGUUUUCGGAUCGUAAAGCUCUGUUGUAAGAGAAGAACGAGUGUGAGAGUGGAAAGUUCACACUGUGACGGUAUCUUACCAGAAAGGGACGGCUAACUACGUG
rnacentral:rRNA from 1 species